rnacentral:misc_RNA from 1 species
GUGAAGAUUCAAGGGCCAGCCAUACAGACGUACAAUAAGUGUGUCUCUGGCGGCUCGCAUCCGCUAUACAUCCAUAAACCCGUGUGCACUGUUCUAAGGAGUAAGAAAGAAGAAGAAGGGGGAGGGAGAGAGAGUGCAUGUGCUUUGCAUAUAACUCU